AUUGAACGCUGGCGGCAGCCUUAACACAUGCAAGUCGAGCGGGGUGAUGGUGCUUGCACUAUCACUUAGCGGCGGACGGGUGAGUAAUGCUUAGGAAUCUGCCUAUUAGUGGGGGACAACAUCUCGAAAGGGAUGCUAAUACCGCAUACGUCCUACGGGAGAAAGCAGGGGAUCACUUGUGACCUUGCGCUAAUAGAUGAGCCUAAGUCGGAUUAGCUAGUUGGUGGGGUAAAGGCCUACCAAGGCGACGAUCUGUAGCGGGUCUGAGAGGAUGAUCCGCCACACUGGGACUGAGACACGGCCCAGACUCCUACGGGAGGCAGCAGUGGGGAAUAUUGGACAAUGGGGGGAACCCUGAUCCAGCCAUGCCGCGUGUGUGAGGAAGGCCUUAUGGUUGUAAAGCACUUUAAGCGAGGAGGAGGCUCUUUUGGUUAAUACCCAAGAUGAGUGGACGUUACUCGCAGAAUAAGCACCGGCUAACUCUGUGCCAGCAGCCACAGUAA
rnacentral:rRNA from 1 species